rnacentral:rRNA from 1 species
UUCUUUUUGUUUUUUAUAAAAGGUAUAGCCUGCUCAAUGAUUUAUUUAAAUAGCCGCGGUUUAACCGUGCUAAGGUAGCAUAAUAAUUUGUCUUUUAAUUAAGGUCUAGAAUGAAGGGUUGAACGAAAAAUUAACUUUUUUAAUAAAAUUUAUUUAAAAUUUUACAUUUAAGUUAAAAGGCUUAAAUUUUUUUAUGGGACGAUAAGACCCUAUAGAAUUUUAUUUUUUAAAUUUAAUAUAAAUUUAUAUUAAUAUAUAUUGGGUAAUAAAAAUUUAGUUGGGGUGACUUUUAUUUUUAAAUAACUAUAUAAUAAUUAAUUCAUUUAUUUAUGAUUAAUUGAUCCUUUAUUAAGGAUUAAUAGAAUAAAUUACCUUAGGGAUAACAGCGUAAUCUUUUUGGAGAGUUCUUAUUUAUAAAAAGGAUUGCGA